rnacentral:rRNA from 1 species
AGCGAACGCUGGCGGCAGGCUUAACACAUGCAAGUCGAGCGGGCAUAGCAAUAUGUCAGCGGCAGACGGGUGAGUAACGCGUGGGAACGUACCUUUUGGUUCGGAACAACACAGGGAAACUUGUGCUAAUACCGGAUAAGCCCUUACGGGGAAAGAUUUAUCGCCGAAAGAUCGGCCCGCGUCUGAUUAGCUAGUUGGUGAGGUAAUGGCUCACCAAGGCGACGAUCAGUAGCUGGUCUGAGAGGAUGAUCAGCCACAUUGGGACUGAGACACGGCCCAAACUCCUACGGGAGGCAGCAGUGGGGAAUAUUGGACAAUGGGCGCAAGCCUGAUAAAGCCAUGCCGCGUGAGUGAUGAAGGCGCUAGGGUUGUAAAGCUCUUUUGUGCGGGAAGAUAAUGACGGUACCGCAAGAAUAAGCCCCGGCUAACUUCGUG